CCGCUAUAAUAAACACACGAUUGCCGAGGUUGCAUGUCAGCAGUGGGGUGAGGAGGAGGGAGAAGGUGGGAGAGAGAUGGGGCUACACAACCUGCCGAGCGCCGCCGAGGCCUUCUUUCCCUUCGCGCUGCUGGCUUACGCUUUGCUCCCGGUGGCGCUGCUGGUGGACGGGGUCAGAUGGGCGGUGGUUCGAAUGAUCGGAUUAGGCGGUGGUGGUGAUGGGGAAGAGGAGCGCAUGCCAGACGUCGGAGCACGCGUCGUGGUGUGGAGGCACGAGGGUGGGGUCGACGACGGAGAGUGCUGCGUGUGCCUCCAUGGCUUCGAGGCGGCGGCGGAGGUGAGCCAGGUGGCGGCAUGCAGGCACUUCUUCCACAGAGAGUGCUUGGAGAGGUGGCUGUCUCACCUGUACGCCACCUGCCCCCUCUGCAGAUCCAUGGUGUAGGCAUCGUGUUGCUGCAGCGAUUGCUUCCUCUUUUGCAUUUGGAUCAGCGGUUGUAUUGGAUUAUGUGAUUCGGAGAUGUCGCCAUGGAUGGAUACUGCAGAAUCCAUGCAACCAUGUUGCAGUGUGUUCAUGUAUCAAUUAGAAUCACCAUAAACUAGUAUUAGUACGUAGUUUGUACAUGAGAACAGGGGAUUCGACUACUACUUGUCAUCAAUAUCUAAUUUUGAUUUCCUUGUUUUUACCGAAGAUUGAUGUCUUCUUUGAUCGAAGAGAGACCUUUUCUUGUGAUAUAUUGCAGGCUAAUAAUUCGAACAAAUUCCCUUCUACCAGCUGUCAUUGUCUGGCUGUGUCUCUCAACAGUCUCAAAGUCGACAGAGGCACAUCACGACACAGUUUCCUUCCGAUGAGGAAAUGGAAUUAGGAAAACAUCAAGUAAUAUUAAUCCUAUUCGAUUAGCCUUAACUUAAUGAAGUUUUUGAGAUUUGAUCCUAAGAAUUAUUAUGAACUUAUUAAGAUUUUAUCUGAAUAAAAACUAGCAGAAGCAUUAGACACACAUCAAGAUUUAUUUUAGAGUCCAAAAUCUUGCAGGAUUCCAAGGUUUUGAGUUGUGCAGACGCAAGCAUUAGUUGCAGUGGCUUUACAGGAGGAACGCAUACGGAGGAAAAGGGUCAGAGGGGGAGGGACCGGAGGCGGUGGGACGUGCAGUUGCUGCAUCCAUCUGGCCAUCGUUUGGACCCAUUCGCAUUGAGAAGGUAGAGCUUCGUACUCGUCUGUCGAUGGUGAGUGGCGCUUUUGGUCCUUUCUGCUGCUACGGCCAAAUGCAAUUAAAGAAGGAAGACGACAUGUAUGGAUCCUUCUUAUGCAUGUCCCACCUGUACGUCUGUGCCUUUGGACAUUGAGAAUUCUUAGGUUCACGAUUAGCAGUCAACCUAUCCCAACUUUAGUUCACUAAUUUUCUGCUGGAGGUGGGGAAUUUGCCAUGAAAUUUCUCGUGGGUUGCUCUCUAUGUGGUUGCUAUCGAAGCCACUCUUUUUCAUGCUUCAAUUCCUUAUAUCUUAUUCCUCCAUCGUACUAACAUCGUCAUUGAUGAGUUAUUUUCAUUGUGUUGGUCAUUGCACCAUUCGUAACAAAGGUGUUCGAUAAAAUGUCUAUGUUGUUUAUUUGUUCAUGUCUUAAACAUUGCAAUAAGUUUGUUAGUCCUAUUUUGUUUAAGUUUUAUUAUUGUUUUUGACUUAUAAUCAUCUUGUUAUACAAAUACCGUGCAGAAAUCAAAUUACACAAUUGCGGAGCCUCCAACCCGGGUGUGAUUUUCUAGAACUAAGAUACGAUCCAACCAUCUAAGCAUCAUAGAACUUUCAAAUGACAAAGGGUCAAAAUAGUAUUACAUGGGCACUUAUGCACGAUGAUUUUGUAUAUAUGAUGGGCUGUCCUGAACUCUUUAUUGGAUAACUAUUUAGAACUUAUCAAGUCUUUUCUUUUUUUAAUUUUGUAACACUCACACAUUGUUUGUUUGUGAGAUUCCGAUUAUGUUUUAACGAAGCAAUGGCAACAUUUUGUUCAUACAUUUGCUCGUUCAUUUACUAUUACUUAUUGAUUAACUCAUUUCUUUUCUUUUUGAGUCCUAUGGGAUUACAUGAGAUUACAAGGAGAUUGGCUCUUUUCAAAUGGAUAUCGGAAGGGGUGUGAUAUAAUAUGCACAAAUAAUGCUUGCAAAAAUAAAUAAAAUUAAAAUGUCUCAAUCUGAUUUGUCCACUGCAAUCUGAUCUGGUUGGCUAUAUGGUUGUUUCAGGGGAUUGAAGGCCAAUUAAUCUUCUGCAAAUGUGUUCACAAUGGUGCAUUUCUACUUGCGGCCCAUCAAAAUACAUUGGAGUUGGCAUCCUCACUGAGAAGUCUGUGGGCUCAGUUUGCAUGUUUGUGCAGAAAUAGGAAUGUAGAUGAGAUGUGCCAUUACUUGAUACAUUUCUAGUUGGUGGCUCAUCAAAUAACAUGGAGUUGGCAUCUUCACUGAGAAGGUUCAACACAGGUGUCACAGGUAUCUCUUAAUGGUGUCUGUGGGUUCAGUUGGCUUAUUUGUGGAGGAAUACGAAUGAAAAAAAAGUGCCAAAAGGGAAGUUGUGAUCUUAAACUUGUUCUUGCCAAGGUAAGGAUUGAUGAUAUGUUUGCAGAAAAUUGAAUUCUAAAUGGAAAUCUCUUUGGGCAAAGACAAACCACCAAAAAAAAUACAACAUUCCAUGUCAUGUAGACAAUAAAGUCAACUCCUAAUGACAACUUUUGUUGAUGCAAGCAACUAAGAGUGGCCAAAAGUCUAUCAUAUUUACUUAUGAGAGAAAGCCAUUGGUUCCUAAAUGCCUGGCUACAGGAUCAGUAUGAUGUCUUGUGCAAAGAGAAUGUGGCCCUUCUUUAGUGUUGUUCUUGUUCUUCAUGUUUCCUACAACAAGAAACAAAAAAGAACAAGUUCAAUUAAUAAUCUCUUUUUUUUCUUUUUUUAUGUCUGUGUCUUUGAAACAAGCAUGAUGGUAAUGACUUGAUGUCAAAC